rnacentral:rRNA from 1 species
GUUUGAUCCUGGCUCAGGAUGAACGCUAGCGGCAGGCCUAAUACAUGCAAGUCGAACGGGUGUAGCAAUACACUAGUGGCGCACGGGUGCGUAACGCGUAACCAACCUGCCCUUGACUGGGGGAUAGCCCGCCGAAAGGCGGAUUAAUACCGCAUAAGCUAGUUGACUCGGCAUCGAGUUAUUAGUAAAGAUUUAUUGGUUAUAGAUGGGGUUGCGGGUCAUUAGCUAGUUGGUCAGGUAACGGCUUACCAAGGCGACGAUGACUAGGGGAGCUGAGAGGCUGGUCCCCCACACGGGCACUGAGAUACGGGCCCGACUCCUACGGGAGGCAGCAGUAGGGAAUAUUGGGCAAUGGGCGAGAGCCUGACCCAGCCAUGCCGCGUGCAGGAUGAAGGCUUUCUGAGUCGUAAACUGCUUUUGCCAGGGAAGAAAAAAGGGGAUGCGUCCUCUACUGACGGUACCUGGUGAAUAAGCACCGGCUAACUCCGUGCCAGCAGCCGCGGUAAUACG